ensembl:processed_transcript 6530402F18Rik RIKEN cDNA 6530402F18 gene
ACAGAGGAAGUUACGCAGCCCGGAUCAGACCGGGAGAUAAAAGCCCCGAUGGUGACCGUGAGUGAUGGCAAGAGGAUUUAGCCUCGGCAUUAACUUGGAGCGGAGUGCAGGGGGGCGGUGAGGCGCCCCGCCAUCUGGCCGGCGCCGCGCCAGGGGGAUGUUCAGGCGCCUGGACCAGCAGCGGCGAAGCCCACCCAGGCCGGGGGCUGAGUGGGGCGCGCGUGCAGGUUCUCCCCUGGCUGCCCAGGGGGCCCCAAAAGUUUGCACUUGUUAGCAGCGACCUCCGAUCGGCCCGGGAGGGCGAUGCAAGCGGUGCGGUUGGCCCCCUUCCCUGGCCCGCGUCUCUGGGACGGCUGCGGGCGGGCCCCCCGGCGGCCGGAGGGUUCCCCAGCCCAGAUUUGACGGUGGCCACCGCAGCAGCGGCGCGGGGCAGGAGUUUCCAGCUCUCAACCCUGCGGUCCCUGCGCCCACCCAGCACCCGCCAGAGGGUGGCGGUCUCCGGCCUCUCGGGGCUCGCUCCGGGAAGCUGCUCCGAGCCUGGGUAAGGCGAGCGGGGAGCGCCGGGGCGGCGGGCGGGGACGGAGGCGCCGCAGUUUCGCCAGGGUGCUUUCAUUUUGUAAAGGCUUCGGUGACGGUGCCAGUUCUCCCCGGACCGGGGAGUCACUCGGAGCCUCCCAGCCGAGGUUCGGACGCAAAGUUAUCUGGUGGAGGCUGCUACUAAAGGAGGGCUGAAGCCGCGGAAGAGGGGCGCAAGAACUCUUAGCCAGUCAGGUUAGAAACUUCCUUCGGUGCUGUGGAGGGGGUCGGCAGGAGGAGAGGGGGCUCCACCACCGUGGAGAGUCGCACUCCAGGGAGAGCAGAGGCGGGAAGUGGACCUCCGGAUCUCGGGUCCGCCCGUUUCAGAGUAAGUUGCGGGUCUGGGCUGGGGGAUGGCGGCGACAGGGUCUCCGCGGAGCAGCGGCGCCGGGAAAAAGAAUGCAAAUAAUUCCCUGGAGCUUUGCUCGGUGUCUUUUAAUUAAGGGAGGCGAUGUCAAAUGAGGGGGCAGCCUGGAUGCUAGCCUGGCCUUUAUUAAAGGCGUGAUUAUUAAUUGCGCCGGUGGUUUGCACCGAACUUCGGAAAGGCAAAAUGCAGCGGCGGUUUGUGCUCUAUGUGCGGUGCACUCCACUGUCAACGCUCCCGAGCUCAGCGAGGACUCAGCCAGACUCCUGGGUGUCUGCGGGUCUCAGGCUAGCCCCGCCCGUCCUCAGGGACCUACACGCGGCGGCCUCAGCUACACGUCCUCAGAGCUGGGUGCUCUGCCCCGCCCCCAAGAGCCCAACUUUUUGGGGGCCUCCCCAGCCGCUGUGAGGGUGACAGGGAGAAACCAGAGUCUGGAGAAAGCUCCCUUCCCAGAACUGGGGACACCGGGACACCCGAACCCGAACGUCCAACAAGGCAGCGCCUGGGUAGAAGAAUUAACCUCCGGUGGAUUACCCCCUCCCAGUCCCUCCCCCCCCAUCCCCAGGGACCCUGCGCCCCGCAGAGGCAAGUUUCCCACAAGGAGAGCGCACAGCCCGAGACUCCAGCAAGAGCCUGUUGGCAGUCCGGCCAGCUCGGAAAGGCGCUAAUUCAAUAAGACAGAGAAAUCUGAGUUCAGAAAUCCUGAUAAAAUCUAAUUUUCGGGUUUUAAUACCCAGGCUAUCAGACCCCCCCCCCCCGCCUCGGUUCCUGAGGACUCUUAAAAGAAAAUAAAGCGCAUUGAUUCC